CGGUGGAGCAUGUGGUUUAAUUCGAAGCAACGCGAAGAACCUUACCAGGUCUUGACAUACCAGUGACCGUCCUAGAGAUAGGAUUUUCCCUUCGGGGACAGUGGAUACAGGUGGUGCAUGGUUGUCGUCAGCUCGUGUCGUGAGAUGUUGGGUUAAGUCCCGCAACGAGCGCAACCCCUGUCGUUAGUUGCCAGCAUUCAGUUGGGGACUCUAACGAGACUGCCAGUGACAAACUGGAGGAAGGUGGGGAUGACGUCAAAUCAUCAUGCCCCUUAUGUCCAGGGCUACACACGUGCUACAAUGGGCGAGACAGAGCGACGCGAAGCCGCGAGGUGGAGCAAAUCGCAGAAAAUCGCCCUCAGUUCGGAUUGGAGUCUGAAACCCGACUCCAUGAAGGUGGAAUCGCUAGUAAUCGCGCAUCAGCAUGGCGCGGUGAAUACGUUCCCGGGCCUU
rnacentral:rRNA from 1 species